rnacentral:lncRNA from 10 species
UGGGACUACAGGCACCCGCCACCAUGCGUGGCUAAUUUUUGUAUUUUUAGUAGAGAUGGGGUUUGACCAUGUUGGUCAGGAUGGUCUCAAACUCCUGACCUUAAGCGAUCCGCCCGCCUCAGCCUCCCAAAGUGCUAAGAUUAUAGGUGUGAGCCACCACGCCUGGCUAUUUCCUCAUCUUAACUAAAAGGUUUCAAGAUACUUUGUUAACUACCUAGCUGCAAUGCAGAUGCACUUACUAGAACCACAGUAUUCCUCUGAUUAAGAGUCUGAAAAUCUUGCCAUAAAAGUUAGCCAAUUCUUAAAUACCCAAAUGCCAGCACAUAACCUACAUUUUAUGCUUAUAAUCAUUUGUUCAUUAAGCUUUAAAAUAAACUGAUCAAAUAAAAUACAAGCAUCUAAGAUGUUUCUAUUAUAUAUUCAUUCUACAGAAAUAUGUGGUAGUUAAUAAAGACUGAGGUAGGUAUCUCUGUGCUGAAGUGGAACAAUGAAGAAACAUUUAGAAAAGCAAGGCAUCUGGCAAUAGGUAAAGCACACCCACACUGAGGCACAAUAUUUUUUAAAAGCAGAGAAAGAAUGUAUUGCACAUUUGCAUAUGCAAAAAAUAUUUCUGAACACCCAAGAAACUCCUAACAGUAGCUGUCAUCUAGGAAAGGAGACCUGAGUGAAUGGAUUAAGAGGGAAACUAACUUAUUAUGAUUAAAAGUUCACAGUCAGGUGUGGUGGCUCAUACCUGUAAUCUCAGCACUUUGGGAGGGCAAGGCAGAAAGAUCACUUGAAGCCAGGAGUUCAAGACCAACCAGCCUGGGAAACAUAGCAAGACCUUGUCUUUACAAAAAAUUUAACAAUGUAGCCAGGCAUGGUGGCAGGCACCUGUAGUCCCAGCUACUGAGCUGAGGCUGAAGCAGGAGAGGAUCACUUGAGCCCAGGAGUUCGAGGAUGCAGUGAGUUAUGAUCAUGCCACUGCACUCCAGCCAGAGCAAGAGUGAGACUCUGCCUCCCAAAACUACAUAUCAAAAAAUUUUAGGCUGUGCGCAGCAGCUCACACCUAUAAUCCCAGCACUCUGGGAAGCUCGAGCCCAGUUCAAUGUUAUGGUGAGCUACGAUUACGCAACUGCACUCCAGCCUGGGUGACACAGCAAGACUCUAAUAGACACACAGACAGAUAAAUUUUAAAGUUUCCAUUAAAAAUAAGAACUAUUGGCAGGGUGCGGUGGCUCACACCUGUAAUGCCAGCACUUUGGGAGGCCAAGGUGGGCGGAUCAUGAGGUCAGGAGAUCGAGACCAUCCUGGCUAACACGGUGAAACCCCAUCUCUACUGAAAAUACAAAAAAAUUAGCCAGGCGUGGUGGUGGGUGCCUGUAGUCCCAGCUACUCGGGAGGCUGAGGCAGGAGAAUGGCGUGAACCCAGGAGGCGGAGCUUGCAGUGAGCCGAGGUCGUGCCACUGUGCUCCAGCCUGGGUGACAGAGUGAGACUCCAUCUCAAAAAAAAAUAAAAUAAAUAAAAAUAAGAACUAUCAGUUACUUGAGAAUUUCUAUAAGAACCUUUUAAUGUUUGUAUUACCUAGUGAACCUCACUAAAUCCAUUAAUUUUCACUAAUCCAUUCCUUAUGAACACAGAAGUUUCUACUGAGCAAAUAUUAGCACUUAACAUGUGAACUGUCUAUCAACGGUGUUUUUAAAAGAUUUACAGGCCGGGCUCAAUGGCUCAUGCCUGUAAUCCCAGCACUUUGAGAGGCCGAGUUGGGUGGAUCACGAGGUCAGAAGAUCGAGACCAUCCUGGCUAACAUGGUGAAAUCCCAUCUCUAUUAAAAAAUACAAAAAAUUAGCCAGGCAUGGUGGUGUGUGCCUGUAAUCCCAGAUACGUGACAGGCUGAAGCAGGAGAAUCACUUGAACCCAGGAGACACAGGUUGCAGUGAGCUGAGAUUGCACCACUGCACUCCAGCCUUGUGACAGAGCGAGACUCCGUCUCAAAUAAAAAUAAAAAGAUUUAUAUUAGGCAGGGCAUGCUGGCUCACUGCCUGUAAUCCCAGCACUUUGAGAGGCCGAGACGCGCAGAUCACCUGAGUUCAGGAGCUCAAGACCAGCCUGACCAACAUGGAGAAACCUCGUCUCUACUAAAAACACAAAAUUAGAUGGGCGUGGUGGCGUGUGCCUGUAAUCCCAGCUACUCGGGAGGCUGAAGCAGGACAAUCGCUUGAACCCGGGAGGCAGAGGUUGCAGUGAGCCAGAUGGCGCCAUUGCACUCCAGCCUGGGCAACAAGAGCAAAACUCCGUCUCAAAAAGAAAAAAAGAUUUAUAUUAGAAGGAGGGGCCUUCUCUAAAAGUAAUGAAUCCUUUUUUUUCCCUCCCCAAGCAAAAAAUCCUUCUCUAAAAUUAAUCAUCUUUCUAAGCCUGGUUUAAUGUUUUUUUGGAAGACUGCUUAUUUCUUUUCCUUUCGAAAGUUAUGCAAGCUCAUUAAAAAAAAAAAAAAAAAAAAAAGGCCAGGCAUGGUGGCUCAUGUCUGUAAAUCCCAGCACUUUGGGAGGCCGAGGCAGGUGGAUGACUAGGUCAGGAGAUUGAGACCAUCCUGGCUACCACGGUGAAACCCCGUCUCUACUAAAAGUACAAAAAAAAAUUAGCCAGGCAUGGUGGCGGGUGCCUGUAGUCCCAGCUACUCAGGAGGCUGAGGCAGGAAAAUGGCGUGAACUCG